rnacentral:rRNA from 1 species
AUGGGCUUUCAUGAGACCUCCUGGCCUUCUGCCACCGCCGUCGAGUUCAUCCCCCAGGCUGACAUACUGCGAUCGGGACACCGUCGGAUCCUCUGUCGCGGGCCCACGUCCCAGUCCUCUCCUUCCUCUCAUAGUUCAUGCACUUCACGGAUGAGAUUUUCUCAAGCUGUUCUCACCUCCUCACGUCGUGCAGCCUCCACACGCGAAGCCACUAAGGCAGGAAUCGAAAGUGACAGUCUGUGCAUCGUGUUCUCCCCAAGGUCAUAUUGCUGCCCUGUUGCAAGAAUUAUGUGUAUCUUUUCAGUAUCAGUCUGA